GUGAAGCCAGCAAAGGGAAGUGACCCACUUCGCCUGCUCUCUGGAAGAACCGGGAUCCUCUGGCGUCAGUACAGAAGACUUUGUCCCAUCAAGCUCUGUGGAAAGCCAGGGGAAGAUGUGGCGAGAGGAGAAAAAUAAUAAGAAGAGAACAGCCACAUCCAUCAAUGGCACUGAUCCCUGAGCCACACCAGUGGCUAUGUCACACCCACCCAACUUUCGGACAAUGAGGAAGCCAGGGAACAGAGUGGGGCCAGUUGUCUGUGUGGGCAGCACGGUGUCCUGCAGCCUUCCUGGUGUGGUUUUCAGGCUGGAUGCACACACCGAGGAAUUAAAUCUGGGGAGAGAACACGAAGGGUGAGCUGCUGGAAAUGUUCAUGCUGUUGCAUUCGGAUAUGCGGACAGGCUGACACAGUGCAUGUUAAACCAGUUCAGAAUGAGGCAAUAUUAAAAAUAUUAA